AGCGAACGCUGGCGGCAGGCCUAACACAUGCAAGUCGAGCGCCCGUAGCAAUACGGGAGCGGCAGACGGGAGAGUAACACGUGGGAACGUGCCCUUCAGUUCGGAACAACCCAGGGAAACUUGGGCUAAUACCGGAUACGUCCGUAAGGAGAAAGAUUUAUCGCUGAAGGAUCGGCCCGCGUCUGAUUAGCUUGUUGGUGAGGUAAUGGCUCACCAAGGCGACGAUCAGUAGCUGGUCUGAGAGGAUGAUCAGCCUCACUGGGACUGAGACACGGCCCAGACUCCUACGGGAGGCAGCAGUGGGGAAUAUUGGACAAUGGGCGCAAGCCUGAUCCAGCCAUGCCGCGUGGGUGAUGAAGGCCCUAGGGUUGUAAAGCCCUUUCGGCGGGGAAGAUAAUGACGGUACCCGCAGAAGAAGCCCCGGCUAACUUCGUGCCAGCCGCCGCCGUAACAC
rnacentral:rRNA from 1 species